UCGACAAUGUUCGUGCCGCCCGCCGCUCCGGCGCCGUCGCCCGAGCUCUGCCACACUAACGUGCUCUCACACGACGACCUACCAGUUGUCAUAGAAGAGGACGAGAACAGUCGCGACGAGGCGGUCAUCGAGAUGCAGAAUUUGCAGCCGAACAGCAAGACGCAUGUGGACGCGGACAAGAGCAACGAUGUGAAGAAGAAGAGGUCUUGGA